rfam:Drosophila persimilis strain MSH-3 cont1.001899, whole genome shotgun sequence.
CAAAUUCAUUUUGGAACUGAAUUCUCGUGGGUCUGCACUGACAACACUGACCAUUUCCAGGGCCAAUUGUUAAUUUUGCGAUUGAAAUUUUGUAGCACCAUGAGAUUCAGCUCUGGCGUGAAUUUC